rnacentral:rRNA from 1 species
CGUCCUAACCGUGCAGUCGACGGUCACAGAGAAGAAGCUUGCUUCUUCGCUGACGAGUGGCGGACGGGUGAGUAAUGUCUGGGAAACUGCCUGAUGGAGGGGGAUAACUACUGGAAACGGUAGCUAAUACCGCAUAACGUCGCAAGACCAAAGAGGGGGACCUUCGGGCCUCUUGCCAUCGGAUGUGCCCAGAUGGGAUUAGCUAGUAGGUGGGGUAACGGCUCACCUAGGCGACGAUCCCUAGCUGGUCUGAGAGGAUGACCAGCCACACUGGAACUGAGACACGGUCCACACUCCUACGGGAGGCAGCAGUGGGGAAUAUUGCACAAUGGGCGCAAGCCUGAUGCACCCAUGCCGCGUGUAUGAAGAAGGCCUUCGGGUUGUAAAGUACUUUCAGCGGGGAGGAAGGGAGUAAAGUUAAUACCUUUGCUCAUUGACGUUACCCGCAGAAAAAGCACCGGGCUAACUCCGUGCCGACCCCCGGGGGAAUAUAAAAAGGCGAACA